UACGUAGGGUGCAAGCGUUGUCCGGAAUUAUUGGGCGUAAAGAGCUCGUAGGCGGUCUGUCACGUCGGCUGUGAAAACCCGAGGCUCAACCUCGGGCCUGCAGUCGAUACGGGCAAACUAGAGUACUGCAGGGGAGACUGGAAUUCCUGGUGUAGCGGUGAAAUGCGCAGAUAUCAGGAGGAACACCAGUGGCGAAGGCGGUGGUCUGGGCCGGAACUGACGCUGAGGAGCGAAAGCGUGGGUAGCAAACAGG
rnacentral:rRNA from 1 species